AACGAGGGGGGCAAGCGUUAUUCAACAUAACUGGGCGUAAAGAGUCUGUAGACGGUAAUAUAAGUUAUUUGUUAAAAUAUAAAUAAAAGUUUAUUUAGCUUAUAAUACUAUUUUACUUUUUGAGUUUUAUACAGAAAAGCAGAAUUUUAUUUGUAAGGGUGAAAUCUGUUUAUAAAUAAAGGAAUGCCAUUAAAGCGAAGGCGGCUUUUUAGUAAAAACUGACGUUGAGAGACGAAAGUAUGGGUAGCAAACAGG
rnacentral:rRNA from 1 species